UUUACCCAUCUAUAAACCCACCAUGUUUUACUAUCUAUAAACCCACCAUGUUUUACUAUCUAUAAACCCACCAUGUUUACCCGUCUAUAAACCCACCAUGUUUUACCCGUCUAUAAACCCACCAUGUUUUACCCAUCUAUAAACCCACCAUGUUUUACCAUCUAUAAGCCCACCAUGUUUUACCCGUCUAUAAACCCACCAUGUUUACCCAUCUAUAAACCCACCAUGUUUUCCCGUCUAUAAACCCACCAUGUUUUACCAUCUAUAAACCCACCAUGUUUACCCAUCUAUAAACCCACCAUGUUUUACAAUCUAUAAACCCACCAUGUUUACCCAUCUAUAAACCCACCAUGUUUACCCGUCUAUAAACCCACCAUGUUUUACCAUCUAUAAACCCAUCAGAGCCAAAUCAACACUCUACAUUAAGAUAACACAACUCUAGCUGCAGUUCCUUCUAUAACCCCAAGGCAGAUGUCCUCUGUCUUUACUACAUUAAGAUAACACAACACCAACUGCUGUUUGUUCAAUAGUGUCACGUCCUGACCAGUAAAAGGGGUUAUUUGUUAUUGUAGUUUGGUCAGGGCGUGGCAGGGGUGUUUGUUUUGUGUGUUUCGGGGUUUUUGAUUUAUGUUCUAUAUUUUCUGUUUCUAUGUUUAUUCUAGUUUUCUAUUUCUAUGUUGUGUUUUACAAUGACCUCCAAUUAGAGGGAGCUGGUUGUUGUUGUCUCUAAUUGGAGGCCAUAUUUAAGUGUGUUCAUUUUUCACUUGUGUUUGUGGGUGGUUGUUCCUAGUAUAGUCUGUGCACCUUACUGGAC
rnacentral:lncRNA from 1 species